rnacentral:rRNA from 1 species
AGUGAACGCUGGCGGUAGGCCUAACACAUGCAAGUCGAACGGCAGCACAGUAAGAGCUCGCUCUUACGGGUGGCGAGUGGCGGACGGGUGAGGAAUACAUCGGAAUCUACUUUUUCGUGGGGGAUAACGUAGGGAAGCUUACGCUAAUACCGCAUACGACCUACGGGUGAAAGCAGGGGAUCUUCGGACCUUGCGCGAUUGAAUGAGCCGAUGUCGGAUUAGCUAGUUGGCGGGGUAAAGGCCCACCAAGGCGACGAUCCGUAGCUGGUCUGAGAGGAUGAUCAGCCACACUGGAACUGAGACACGGUCCAGACUCCUACGGGAGGCAGCAGUGGGGAAUAUUGGACAAUGGGCGCAAGCCUGAUCCAGCCAUACCGCGUGGGUGAAGAAGGCCUUCGGGUUGUAAAGCCCUUUUGUUGGGAAAGAAAAGCAGCAGGUUAAUACCCCGCUGUUCUGACGGUACCCAAAGAAUAAGCACCGGCUAACUUCGUG